rnacentral:sRNA from 1 species
UUAGAUAUUACACAGAAUAUCGAUUGCGAAGGCAACUCACAAAGCCAUUAUUGACGCUGAGGCACGAAAGUGUGGGGAUCAAACAGGAUUAGAUACCCUGGUAGUCCACACUGUAAACGAUGAUAACUAGCUGUCGGCGAUAGAUAGUCGGUGGCCAAGCGAAAGCGAUAAGUUAUCCACCUGGGGAGUACGACCGCAAGGUUGAAACUCAAAGGAAUUGACGGGGGCCCGCACAAGCGGAGGAACAUGUGGUUUAAUUCGAUGAUACGCGAGGAACCUUACCCGGGCUCGAACGGUGCAGUAAUAUGGUAGAGAUAUCAUAGCUAGCAAUAGACUGUAUCGAGGUGCUGCAUGGUUGUCGUCAGCUCGUGCCGUGAGGUGUCGGCUUAAGUGCCAUAACGAGCGCAACCCUUGUCGUUAGUUMCCAUCAAAUAAAGUUGGGGACUCUAGCGAGACUSCCACCGUAAGGUGUGAGGAAGGGGGGGAUGACGUCAAAUCAGCACGGCCCUUACGUCCGGGGCGACACACGUGUUACAAUGGUAGGUACAGAGGGCCGCUACCCAGUGAUGGGGUGCCAAUCUCAAAAACCUAUCUCAGUUCGGAUCGGAGUCUGCAACUCGACUCCGUGAAGUUGGAUUCGCUAGUAAUCGCGCAUCAGCCAUGGCGCGGUGAAUACGUUCCCGGGCCUUGUACACACCGCCCGUCAAGCCAUGGAAGCCUGGGGGUGCCUGAAGUUCGUGACCCGGAAGGAGCGMCCUAGGGCAAAWCUAKUAACUGGGGCUAAGUCGUAACAAGGUAGCCGUACCGGAAGGUGUGGCUGGAACACCUCCUUUUUGGAGCUUAACUGUAACGAGCUCUGCUCUGUCUUUCAAUUAUUAUAUAGUGCCAUGUAAUGGUUUUUGAUCAGUUACACAAUCGGUUCGCGACCGUAAGGCAUGACAAAGGGAAAAGAUGAGAAUCGAUCCUGAUUAGUUCUUUGAAGUUUUGAGAGAGAUAAAGAGGUAAAAAAAAGAGAUAAAUAUUAGAUUUAUUUCGAGCAAAAAAAAAGAUUGGGUCUGUUAAAUAUAAUGAUUUAAGGGACUACAAUUUCGUAAUAGGAAGUUACUUAAGGGCGAACGGAGGAUGCCUUGGCUUCUAUGGGCGAAGAAGGACGUGGUAAGCUGCGAAAAGCUGCGGGGAUCAGCAAACAUGAUUUGAUCCGCAGAUAUCCGAAUGGGGCAACCC